AGAGUUUGAUCCUGGCUCAGGAUGAACGCUAGCUACAGGCUUAACACAUGCAAGUCGAGGGGCAGCAUUUUAGUUUGCUUGCAAACUGAAGAUGGCGACCGGCGCACGGGUGAGUAACACGUAUCCAACCUGCCGAUAACUCCGGAAUAGCCUUUCGAAAGAAAGAUUAAUACCGGAUGGCAUACGAAUAUCGCAUGAUAUUUUUAUUAAAGAAUUUCGGUUAUCGAUGGGGAUGCGUUCCAUUAGUUUGUUGGCGGGGUAACGGCCCACCAAGACUACGAUGGAUAGGGGUUCUGAGAGGAAGGUCCCCCACAUUGGAACUGAGACACGGUCCAAACUCCUACGGGAGGCAGCAGUGAGGAAUAUUGGUCAAUGGGCGCGAGCCUGAACCAGCCAAGUAGCGUGAAGGAUGAAGGCUCUAUGGGUCGUAAACUUCUUUUAUAUGGGAAUAAAGUUUUCCACGUGUGGAAUUUUGUAUGUACCAUAUGAAUAAGGAUCGGCUAACUCCGUGCCAGCAGCCGCGGUAAUACGGAGGAUCCGAGCGUUAUCCGGAUUUAUUGGGUUUAAAGGGAGCGUAGGUGGAUUGUUAAGUCAGUUGUGAAAGUUUGCGGCUCAACCGUAAAAUUGCAGUUGAAACUGGCAGUCUUGAGUACAGUAGAGGUGGGCGGAAUUCGUGGUGUAGCGGUGAAAUGCUUAGAUAUCACGAAGAACUCCGAUUGCGAAGGCAGCUCACUAGACUGUUACUGACACUGAUGCUCGAAAGUGUGGGUAUCAAACAGGAUUAGAUACCCUGGUAGUCCACACAGUAAACGAUGAAUACUCGCUGUUUGCGAUAUACAGUAAGCGGCCAAGCGAAAGCAUUAAGU
rnacentral:rRNA from 1 species